UACGAACUGUGCAAACGUUAUUCGGAUUCACUGGGAUUAAAGGGUGCGUAGGCGGCCAUGUAAGUAGGGUGUGAAAUCCCCCGGCUUAACCGGGGAACUGCGCCCUAAACUGUGUGGCUUGAGUGAGAUAGGGGUGUGUGGAACUUCCGGUGGAGCGGUGAAAUGUGUUGAUAUCGGAAGGAACGCCGGUGGCGAAAGCGACACACUGGGUCUCAACUGACGCUGAGGCACGAAAGCCAGGGGAGCGAACGGG
rnacentral:rRNA from 1 species